CCUACGGGAGGCAGCAGUGAGGAAUAUUGGUCAAUGGGCGAGAGCCUGAACCAGCCAAGUCGCGUGAGGGAGUACUGCCCUAUGGGUUGUAAACCUCUUUUGUCGGGGAGCAAAAGCCGGACGUGUCCGGCUGUGAGAGUACCCGAAGAAAAAGCAUCGGCUAACUCCGUGCCAGCAGCCGCGGUAAUACGGAGGAUGCGAGCGUUAUCCGGAUUUAUUGGGUUUAAAGGGUGCGCAGGCGGAUUUUUAAGUCAGCGGUAAAAUCGUGGGGCUCAACCCCAUCCAGCCGUUGAAACUGGGGAUCUAGAGUGUGCAAGAGGUAUGCGGAAUGCGUGGUGUAGCGGUGAAAUGCAUAGAUAUCACGCAGAACCCCGAUUGCGAAGGCAGCAUACCGGUGCACAACUGACGCUCAGGCACGAAAGCGUGGGUAUCGAACAGGAUUAGAUACCCUUGUAGUC
rnacentral:rRNA from 1 species